AAGUCUGGACUGCAAAUCCCAGAGACCUUGGGAGCAGCAGGAAGAGGAAGCAAACACACAGCCCACGCUAGCUACGUGCCAGAGACCUAUGCUGUAGCAUCCCCUGAUUUCUGGCCUGAGACACUGCAGGCAUGUGGUUGCAUUUCCUGAAUUAAAAGUGACUGUCUGUCCAAUUGUUUCUUGAUUUAAUCUCUGCAUUUUAGACUAACUCACCCCUACUCUAUAGCCUACUAUUCUUGUGUUCUAGACACCUAUCUUUAAUGAGCUAAGAAACCCUUGUAUACACAUUCAUUGUCAUAGAUGUUCAUUUUUCACUUGAUUAAGAUUUCACAUUUUUUGAAAGGGCAGUCCUGUAAUAUUUUGUUAGAAUCUAUAUUUUGUCUGUUGGUUAAAGGAUUCCAUAUGACUCAUUUACUUCUCUUCGAGAGAUUGAUAUUUGGAUUUGUUAGGUGGCAAUGGAUGGAUGAUAUAAAAUACUUUUUGGCAAUUUACAAAUGAACUCACUUUUCCUGCGCUCCCACCCCUCUUUCUGUUUGCUUUCUGCAAACAUUAGAAUGAUCGAGUUUUACUUGCAUGGAUGCUCAUGGAAAGCAAAUUUUAAGCUUGCACGCUCGAAUACUGCCAUAUAGCAGAAGUGCCAGGUUGAGAUGACAAAGCUAUGCUGGUGCCUUGAGCCUAAACUUGCUUAAUGAGGGACAAAAUUCUUCACCCACUGCUGCUGCGGCCAUUUCUCUUCAUUGUGCUCUGUGCAAUUAGUAUGUUUAAAAGGGACAAUGCUUGCCAUACCUAGGGGCAGAGUUUUCCAAAAACUCUAUGGCCCUGGCACAUGGGAAAUUACACAAAGAUCUGAUUGUGCCUUUAGCAACUAUAAUUGUGUGUGUACAUCCAAUUUUUUGAGGUGAAUGUGACGAAACUGAAUAAUUCUGCACCCAGACAACAAAUCUUACAGAACCGUAAUGUUGGUUGGACUGAUGCCUUAGGUAGUCUGUCUAGCCCUCUCCUGCAAAUUACGAAAUGUGGUGAUAGUGCAUAUCUGGGAAAAUCUAUGCCUCUGACUUCUCUGCUUGAUAAAAAAGUUAUGCUUAUCUGGUUAGCUGCUGGAAACAAGGGAAUGUGGUUUCUAUCAUUGUUCAUAACUAAAGUAACCCAUAUUUUGAAUACUAUGCAGCAAACAUGCAUCAAAUUGUUCAGUCAUCUAAGAAGUAAAAUAAAUAAAUAAAAUGGUCAAGUGCAUUUGAAUUGCAGAUAAAUCUGAGGAAAUCACAGUCUAUAUGCCUAUAUUCAGUGAACAAAAGAAAAAAGCUGCACAGGAUGGACAAAUUAUCAGGGGGAAAGGGAACAUCAGUUUUCAGGAGGAAAUGGUUUAAAAUAAGUGUCACAUGGUGAGUCGAAGCUGGAAGGCAGAUACUGAGUUUCAACUUUACAACACUUGAUCUGAUAUGACACCAC